rnacentral:rRNA from 1 species
UAAGUAGGUAGUGAAAUUGUGUGGCUCAACCAUACGCCCAUUAUCUAAACUGCUCAGCUAGAGUAUGGGAGAGGUCACUGGAAUUUCUUGUGUAGGAGUGAAAUCCGUAGAUAUAAGAAGGAACACCGAUGGCGUAGGCAGGUGACUGGCCCAUUACUGACACUAAGGCACGAAAGCGUGGGGAGCGAACUGGAUUAGAUACCCAGGUAGUCCACGCCGUAAACGAUGGAUGCUA